GAUUCCUACGGGGGGCAGCAGUGGGGAAUAUUGCACAAUGGGCGAAAGCCUGAUGCAGCAACGCCGCGUGAAGGAAGAAGGGUGUCGGCUCGUAAACUUCUAUCAACAGGGACGAAAGAAAUGACGGUACCUGAAUAAGAAGCCCCGGCUAACUACGUGCCAGCAGCCGCGGUAAUACGUAGGGGGCAAGCGUUAUCCAGAAUUACUGGGUGUAAAGGGUGAGUAGGCGGCAUGGUAAGCCAGAUGGGAAAGCCUUGGGGUUAAACCGAGGAUUGCAUUUGGAACUAUCAAGCUAGAGUACAGGG
rnacentral:rRNA from 1 species